UACGUAGGGGGCAAGCGUUGUCCGGAUUUAUUGGGCGUAAAGAGCGUGUAGGCGGCCAUACAGGUCCGUUGUGAAAACUCGAGGCUCAACCUCGAGACGUCGAUGGAAACCGUAUGGCUAGAGUCCGGAAGAGGAGAGUGGAAUUCCUGGUGUAGCGGUGAAAUGCGCAGAUAUCAGGAAGAACACCCGUGGCGAAGGCGGCUCUCUGGGACGGUACUGACGCCGAGACGCGAAAGCGUGGGGAGCGAACAGG
rnacentral:rRNA from 1 species